AGUGACUUGCCCAGCAGUCAGGUGGGUGCUCACUCAGUCCUUCCUUGUCUUCUGUCUGUUGCCAGGAUGACUUUCCUGCAGGCUCGUUCUCUUUAAGCACCAGGGCCCCAGUCCAACGUUACUAAAAGUGAGGGGCCUCUUUUCUCAUUCCAAACAGGCACAACUCUGGCAAUCCCCAGGGUCUUACAACUUCUGUUUAUCUAUAGUAGCUAAGUGGGAUUUUUUGAGGGGAAUAUCAACUCAAUUCUUUACUCAUUCUCAAUUUGAAGGUAGAUUGUGUGUGGGGUGUCCAUCGUGUAACUCUUUUGUGUGAAUAAAGCUCUGGAAUAAUUUUCCCUCAUAUAAUGAGGAUGCUGGGAUUUUCUUUCUUUUCCUCUCACAGGGGCCUGGUCUUUUUAGGGCAGGCAGUGUGUGUGUAUAUGUAUUUAUAUGUAUGUGUGUAUAUGGUGUAUAUUUAUGUUUGUGUAUGUGUUUAUAUGAGUGCAUGUGUAUAUAUGUAUUUAUGUAUAUGUAUAUGUGUAUUUAUGUGUGUGUGUGUUUAUGUAUGUGUAUAUGUGUAUAUGUAGGUUUAUGUGUAUGUGUAUAUGUGUGUAGGUUUAUAUGUGUAUAUGUAUGUGUAGAUGCAUGUAUAAAUGUGUGAAUUUAUGCUUGUAUAUAUACAUGUGUAUUUGUGUGCAUGUGUGCUUAUGUGUGUAGGUGUAUGUAUGUAUGUGUGUGUGUGCACAUGAGAAAGGGUGUCUUGCCUAAAGUUGUAGAGCUAAUAAGCAUUAGAGGCAGGACAUGGAUCUAGGAGACUCCAGGGCGUGUAUGUGUAAAUACUAUUUUCUUCUCUCAUCUUUCAGCCUUAUAAUUUAAUUUAGCCAACAUUUAUCUAGACCAUUCUAGGUGUUACAUGUGGCAGCUAGUGAUGACAGCAAGGUGGUGAAUACAUGCUGCUCUAGUUGAAUUAACCAGCAGUGAUGACCAGCCGGUUCCCUUUUGAUACUGGGAAAGCAGUCACAGAGAUGCCAUCUAUGGCAGAUGUAUCACCAGUUAUCAAGUUAUCUACCUGGAUAACCACCACUCAAGCAUCUUAGUCAUCAGGUCUCUGGCUUUCUUACUAUGGGUUGUCUGUUGAACCCAUAAUUAAAUCUUCCCCAUCAGAGGAGGUGACCCUCCUCUGUGAAUUGUGAAUCUGCCAAAGAAACAGUCUUAGGAGGCUGAGCGGGUCCAUCGUUGGAGCUGGCUGGCAGCAUUACUGCCUGUCACUACACUGUUACCUCCCUAUGUGAGGCUGCCAUGACUUUGCAGAGAAUAUAGAAGUAGAGUCUCCAGGUACAUAGUCUUUCCAAUAUUCUCCAUCAAGAGGUGUGGCGUCUAUGAUAACUUAUGCAAGUUUGACCCCUGAGUAAGCUUUCUCUAAGAAUUAACACUGUGGAAACAUGGGAGUUCACAGAGAACGAGGAAACGGGCUUAAUCCUGGUGUGGUUAUAGGGAUUUUAGUUUUUACUUUUUGGCAUGGGCAUCCCCACGAAAAACAGAGCUCUUAUUGUUCACAUGUCAUGGUUCUGUGCAGGACAUGCUGGUGAGGUACUCAGUGCUCUGAGCAGGGGUGUGGUUGGGCAGUCCUCAUGAGGAAGGAGGGUGCUGCCUUCCAGAAGGGGAAAGGGCCGUGUUGUGUGGGGGCAUGCCCGAAGCUUAAAAUGAGCAAAAUUAUGAAAUUGAGCCAGAGACCCAAGUGUCCCAGUACCCUCAGAACUUCACAUUGAUUUUUUUCUUUUUAGUUAAAUGUCAUUUGUGGUUAUGUGUGUAUGCAUGUAUUUGCAAGGAGGUUUGAACACAUUAGUACAGGUGCUUGUGGAGGCCAGAAGCGUGUGUCAGAUCCCCUGGAGCUGUGAGUUGUGAGCCACUUGAUGUGGAUGCUGGGAACUGAACUGAGCCGUCUGAAAGAACCCUAUGCUCCUACCGCUGUGCUCCAGCCCCUGAUGUUGUUGAUAGUACUGUGACGAGACAGGAUGGAGCUGCCUACAGAACAGAUCCACUCAUCUUGCCACCGCCGGCAUUCACCUUCUUUAGACUGUUUUGUAUGAACAACUGAAGGAAGUUAGAUCGUAAAACAGUGUGCAUCCAAAUAGGCAUUUUCUCAAGUGCAGUUGUUUUUUUUGUUGUUGUUGUUUCUAAAUAAGUGAGUAUCUAGUAGAUUGUUUUUACAUAGGACCUGAGUUCGUUUUUCUGUGCCCGUAUCAGGAAGUCCACAAACAGCCUGUAACUCUGGCUCUCAGGGAUCUGGCAUCCUCUUAUGGGCUCUGUCAGGCACCUGCACUCAAACGUGAAACCCACCCC
rnacentral:lncRNA from 1 species